UAUGCUAGGCCCUAAACUUUGGACUUUCCCGCCAGAGUAUUACGAGCUACAGCUUAAAACUCAAAAGACUUGGCGGUGCCUUAUAUCCACCUAGAGGAGCCUGUUCUAUAAUUGAUAAUCCCCAAUAAACCUCACCACCUCUUGUAAAUACAGCCUAUAUACCACCGUCUAUGCAAACCUCCCCAGAGAAUAAUAGUAGGCCCAAUAAUUUAAAAUAAAAAAGUCAGGUCAAGGUGUAGCAAAUGAGUUGGAAAGAAAUGGGCUACAUUUUCUCUUAAGAAAAUACGAAGAUACUCAAUGAAAUAGGGAACGAAGGAGGAUUUAGUAGUAAAAAGAAAAUAGAGUGUUCUUUUUAAAUUGGUAAUAAGGCGAGCACACACCGCCCGUCACCCUCUUAAAUAUAUAAAAUUAAAAUAUAAAUUAUUUUCCAAAAAUAAGAAAGUC
rnacentral:rRNA from 1 species